AGUGGCGGACGGGUGAGUAACGCGUGAGUAACCUGCCUUUCGGAGAGGAAUAACAUUUGGAAACGAAUGGUAAUACCACAUACUGAGAGAUGGACUCGCGUCCGAUUAGCUGGAUGGUGAGGUAACGGCCCACCAUGGCGACGAUCGGUAGCCGGACUGAGAGGUUGAACGGCCACAUUGGGACUGAGACACGGCCCAGACUCCUACGGGAGGCAGCAGUGGGGAAUAUUGCACAAUGGGGGAAACCCUGAUGCAGCAACGCCGCGUGAAGGAAGACGGUCUUCGGAUUGUAAACUUUGUUCUUGGGAAGCGGUAGCCAAGGAGGAAGCACGGCUAACUACGUGCCAGCAGCCGCGGUAAUACGUAGGUGCAAGCGUUGUCCGGAAUUACUGGGUGUAAAGGGAGCGCAGCGGGAAAUCAAGUUGGAUGUGAAAUGUCGGGGCUUAACCCCGGACUGCAUCCAAAACUGAUAUUCUUGAGUGAAGUAGAGGUAGGCGGAAUUCC
rnacentral:rRNA from 1 species